rnacentral:rRNA from 1 species
AUAGCUUUAGGGCUAGCCUCAAGGUGAGAGAUACGGAGGUAGAGCACUGAAUGUCCUAGGGGGUAUUGCACCUACCGAAGACUAUCAAACUCCGAAUGCCGUCAUCUUAUACUUGGGAGUCAGACUGUGGGUGAUAAGAUUCAUAGUCGAAAGGGCAACAGCCCAGAUCGUCAGCUAAGGUCCCUAAAUGUAAGUUAAGUGGUAAAGGAUGUGGGAUUGCACAGACAACCAGGAUGUUGGCUUAGAAGCAGCCACUCAUUCAAAGAGUGCGUAAUAGCUCACUGGUCGAGUGAUCCUGCGCCGAAGAUUUCCGGGGCUAAAACUUACUACCGAAGCUACGGCAUCAGUAAUGAUGGGUAGGGGAGCUUCCCAUACGGGUUGAAGCAUGACCGUAAGGACAUGUGGACAGUAUGGGAGUGAGAAUGUUGGCAUGAGUAGCGAGAUGUGGGGGAGAAUCCCACAGGCCGUAAACCCAAGGUUUCCAGGGGAAGGUUCGUCCACCCUGGGUUAGUCGGGACCUAAGCUGAGGCCGAAAGGCGUAGGUGAUGGACAACAGGUUGAUAUUCCUGUACUACCGAUAACCGUUUGAGAGAAGGGAUGACACAGUAGGAUAAGCUAAGCAC